AAGUCAUAACAAGGUUUCCGUAGGUGAACCUGCGGAAGGAUCAUUAAUGAAAUCGCGUAUCUCGGGUCUCCCGGAUAUGUUUCAUCCCAUACACCGUGAACUGUGGCCUCGGCCAUUUACACAAACUGUUAGUAAUGAAUGUAACAUCAUAACAAACAUAAAACUCUUAACAACGGAUCUCUUGGCUCUC
rnacentral:misc_RNA from 1 species